rnacentral:rRNA from 1 species
GGGGUAACGAGUUUCACUCCCAACCCAAUGUGAACCAUACCAAACUGUUGCCUCGGCGGGGUCACGCCCCGGGUGCGUCGCAGCCCCGGAACCAGGCGCCCGCCGGAGGGACCAACCAAACUCUUUUCUGUAGUCCCCUCGCGGACGUUAUUUCUUACAGCUCUGAGCAAAAAUUCAAAAUGAAUCAAAACUUUCAACAACGGAUCUCUUGGUUCUGGCAUCGAUGAAGAACGCAGCGAAAUGCGAUAAGUAAUGUGAAUUGCAGAAUUCAGUGAAUCAUCGAAUCUUUGAACGCACAUUGCGCCCGCCAGUAUUCUGGCGGGCAUGCCUGUCCGAGCGUCAUUUCAACCCUCGAACCCCUCCGGGGGGUCGGCGUUGGGGAUCGGGAACCCCUAAGACGGGAUCCCGGCCCCGAAAUACAGUGGCGGUCUCGCCGCAGCCUCUCCUGCGCAGUAGUUUGCACAACUCGCACCGGGAGCGCGGCGCGUCCACGUCCGUAAAACACCCAACUUCUGAAAUGUUGACCUCGGAUCAGGUAGGAAUACCCGCUGAACUUAAGCAUAUCAAA